CGUGUGGUUAAUGAUGACUACUCUUUCCCCGACUUAUCGACUAUGGUGAUACAACCAUUACACUAAGUCAGAUUUGGUCUGAAACUACACA